AUGAACGCUGGCGGCGUGCCUAAUACAUGCAAGUCGAGCGAACAGACGAGGAGCUUGCUCCUCUGACGUUAGCGGCGGACGGGUGAGUAACACGUGGAUAACCUACCUAUAAGACUGGGAUAACUUCGGGAAACCGGAGCUAAUACCGGAUAAUAUAUUGAACCGCAUGGUUCAAUAGUGAAAGACGGUUUUGCUGUCACUUAUAGAUGGAUCCGCGCCGCAUUAGCUAGUUGGUAAGGUAACGGCUUACCAAGGCAACGAUGCGUAGCCGACCUGAGAGGGUGGUCGGCCACACUGGAACUGAGACACGGUCCAGACUCCUACGGGAGGCAGCAGUAGGGAAUCUUCCGCAAUGGGCGAAAGCGUGACGGAGCAACGCCGCGUGAGUGAUGAAGGUCUUCGGAUCGUAAAACUCUGUUAUUAGGGAAGAACAAAUGUGUAAGUAACUAUGCACGUCUUGACGGUACCUAAUCAGAAAGCCACGGCUAACUACGUA
rnacentral:rRNA from 1 species